rnacentral:rRNA from 1 species
GGAAUCUUAGACAAUGGGCGCAAGCCUGAUCUAGCCAUGCCGCGUGGACGAUGAAGGCCUUAGGGUUGUAAAGUCCUUUCGCUGGGGAAGAUAAUGACGGUACCCAGUAAAGAAGACCCGGCUAACUCCGUGCCAGCAGCCGCGGUAAUACGGAGGGGGCUAGCGUUGUUCGGAAUUACUGGGCGUAAAGCGCGCGUAGGCGGAUCAGAAAGUCAGAGGUGAAAUCCCAGGGCUCAACCUUGGAACUGCCUUUGAAACUCCUGGUCUAGAGUUCGAGAGAGGUGAGUGGAAUUCCGAGUGUAGAGGUGAAAUUCGUAGAUAUUCGGAGGAACACCAGUGGCGAAGGCGGCUCACUGGCUCGAUACUGACGCUGAGGUGCGAAAGCGUGGGGAGCAAA